UACGUAGGGGGCAAGCGUUGUCCGGAUUUACUAGGCGUAAAGAGCGUGUAGGCGGCCACGCAGGUCCGUUGUGAAAACUGGAGGCUCAACCUCCAGACGUCGACGGAAACCGUAUGGCUAGAGUCCGGAAGAGGAGAGUGGAAUUCCUGGUGUAGCGGUGAAAUGCGCAGAUAUCAGGAAGAACACCAAUGGCGAAGGCAGCUCUCUGGGACGGUACUGACGCUGAGACGCGAAAGCGUGGGGAGCGAACAGG
rnacentral:rRNA from 1 species